CUCGAGACAAAUCCUCAUAACAAGAAGUAAAAGAAAAAGAAAACCCACAAAGGGUAAAAUUUGAUGAGCGAUUAUAAACCUUUUAUCCAGCUUUAGACAAGGCAUAAGUGAGGCUAAGGUGGGUUUUAUUCUCCAGGCACCGAGACUCCUUGCUUCAGCCUCUCCCGCUUGAGCUUCUUUUUAGAAACUGGCUUCUUCUUCUUUGGAGGUAGGUUCUUCUGUGCAUGCACGUAGAGCACGAUGUUGGCAACAAGGAACACAACAAGCGGACCUCCGAUAACAAGCAGCACGAUUAGUCCCGGGUUCAAUCCUCUGGCUUCAGCAGCCGCCUAUGGAAUGUCAAACCAAUGACAAUGAGUGCAUAUAAAUCAUACCAAACAUAGAAUCAAAAGAUAAAGGCCAAGGAAAAAAAAAUGCUUGCAACCCAUAUACACAUUGUCACAUGUAACUGCAAUAACUCAUAUAUUCUAGUCAGUUUGUCCUGCAAUGCUUGCAACCCACGUUUCCUCAGAUCCUAAACAAAAUAGUCUAAAUUCCUAAGGAACAAAUCAUCAGACCAACCGUAAGAUACCUAAUUGCUGGGAUCAUAGAGAAAAGGAGCCGUUAAAUACUACAAAAGCUACAAGUAUAAGGACGAUUGAAGAUACCUUUCUGGUAAAAUCUUCGCCGUCCAUGAAUACGAUCCGAAAUCUCUGAGAGCAACGUAAGAAUGGUGGAGAAGGGAGAAAGAAGGAUGAUCUGAUGAAAACGAAGAUCCGUUUUCGAACAGAAGAGAUUAAGACACAAACACACGCAGAUAAUGUAAUAACACGUUUUUUUAUCCUUUACUUCCAGUCUUUGUGAAACUCUUAUUUGGACCCCUUACGUUUCAGGUUUUUCCCAAUUCAACUCGUAACUUUUGUCAUACAAAGUUAAACCCCUAAUUAAGAAACCAACUACGUGUACUAAACUCAUAAAAUGAAUUGAAUGUUACAACACAAAUCAAAUAAUCAAAACAACACAAAAUACAUUUUCAUCUAUACCAUAUGGUCAUCGUCACCUCUAAUCAUAACAUUAUGUUCCGGCACAGACCAGGACGAAGACCUACUAGAAUUCAACGCCAAAGUAUUGCAAUCAGAUAAAGUAUCUUGCAAACUCAGCAACAAAUGCGAAGUGCUAAAACUCAUAGUCGGUCUCGACUUAGGCACAACCGGUACAUCAGCCUCACCAAUCAGCAUUUGCACCACUGACCUCAUAGUGGGCCGAGCCUCUGGAUCCGGAUGAGAACAAGCUAAGCCCACCACCAUAACCCGCCACAUCUCCCCUUCAUCGAACUUACCUUCAAGCCUCGAAUCCGCCGCACCCGUAACUUUCCCUUCUUUAUACAAACCCCACACCCAUUCUACCAAAUUCGGAUUCGCCCCAACGUUUUGUCUCUGCGCAUUCAAGUCCUUCUCGAUCGGUCUCCUUCCCGUAACCACUUCAAGAACCACCGCUCCAUAGCUGAAAACGUCUGUCUUCUCCGUGGCGCGACCCGUUAAAAGAUACUCCGGCGCUAAGUACCCCAUCGUCCCGGCGGCGACCGUCGCUUCCGGCGAUUUAUCGUGUUCGAUUUGUCUAGCUAACCCGAAAUCUCCUAGCUUGGCGUUGAAGUUCUCGUCUAGCAUUAUGUUACUGCUCUUCACGUCUCUGUGUAUCACCUGAUUCUCACACUCCCUAUGUAGAUAAGCAAGAGCCGACGCAACUCCAAGCAAGAUCUUCUUCCGGUGAUCCCACGGCAACGGAAACCGUGACUCAAACAAAGCCUUAUCAAGCGAACCGUUAGGCAUAAGAUCAUACACCAACAGAAUCUCACCUCUCUCGUGGCACCAUCCUUGUAACCGGACAAGGUUUCUAUGUCUGAGGCUUCCGAUGAUGGAUAGCUCCGACAUGAACUCGUUCUUCUUGUCUUGCGAGCUGUGGCUACACCGUUUCACAGCGACGACGUCUCCCGUCUCGGGGAGAACGCCUCUGUAGACGACCCCGAAGGCGCCGUGUCCGAUGCUUCGACUCUCGUUGAAGCUCCUCGUAGCGGCUUUGAGCUCCUUGUAGCUGAACUCUUUAGGAGCUUUGAUGAUCUCCGACGCGAAGGAGUCAUGCCUCUCCACGCGUUUGAACUUCCUCGAGUAGGCCCAGAACAAACCGCCGGCGAAUAGCGCUAAGAAGAAAGCUCCGGCGGUUACCACUCCGGCGAUUGCUCCACGGUUCUCUUUGCACAAGUGGUUGCGGCAAGACGACGACGGCGGAGUUUUCGAUAGAGAGCUGACCGGAACGGCGGAGGAAGACGGUUGCGAGGCAAUCGGCGGCGGAGAGUUAACCGAAUUAGCUUUCGGAUUCACUAAAUUAGCAGUGGGAGGAGAGGGUCCGGAUCCGGAUCCGGACCCGGGACCCGACCCGAAGGAUGACCUGAAGCUCCACCACUCGAUGCUGUGGCUCUCAGUGCUUCCCUGAGUAGACCCGGAGAAACCAACGAACAUGAAGUCGUUAACGUAACGGUCAAGAUCGAGAGGGAAAGACAAAACAGGAGAUUUUGGUUUCAGAUUCGAGUAAGAGACGGAUACGUUGAAGACCCGAGUCAACCCGUCGUAUUCGAUCCACGAAUUAACGGUGUUUCCGCUUUUUAAAUCAAUGUCUACAGUGCCGAGAUCCCCAGAAACAGACGAAACGACGCCGUUUACAUCGAACCCGACGUGGUUGCUGUUAAUAUCCUUAAAGUCGACGUCCAUCAACGUGUCGAACUCCACAGCGACGAAUUUGGACCCGGCGGGGCCGGCGGGGGCGGCGAGACCAAGCGAGCCACCGGCGGCGCCGAUAGUGUUUCCGUCUGGGGCGAUAACGAAGGCGAGACCGCCGCCGAUUGAAGAAGGGUUUAUGUUUGUGAUGGAGAAGGAGAGAAAUUCAACUCUUGAUAGUUGAUAUGCAAUGUGAUUCUACUGAAAACGCGGUUCCCUGCGGCAAAAUAGAAGUCAUCAAAGUUGACAAAUCAAACUCUAAACUUGCAAACAUUGGUGAUCCCUGCGUGGGGGCCCCGGUAAAAGGACCACCAAGGCAACAACCACAGUCGCGAAGAUCCAGCAAACACCACUCGUCUCACCAACCCCCUUCACCGGGUCCCAUAUUAUCUCAGAUAUAUACAGUCAUCAGUGUUAUUUUUUCCAAAUCAGCCACAUAAACUCACUCUCUGUUUUAUUUGUUUUUAUUUAUCAUCCAUAAAUACAACACCCAGACAAAAAAUGUAUGACGUGUUUCAAUAAAUAGAACAAUUUUUUUUAUGAAAAUAAAUUCAUCAGGUAACGAUUGUAUUUUUGAGUUUAUCAAAACUACUAGAAAGAGAACAAUAUAUUCGGUGACCAUCUACAUAAUCCAUAAUAUACAGUUUGUAAGUAAUUUUGAUAAUUUAAAAAAUAAUUUUAGAUACUUAUAGAAAAAUUCUCUAGGAUAGUUUUUUUUUAAAUUAUUAUCACAAAAUAGCCAUCAAUAUAUUUUUACCCUAGAAUUAACUAAUCUAAACUUAGGGUUUAGAGUUAAGGGGUGUGGUUUUGGGAUAAAGUUUCAAACUUUAAAAAAUAAAAAAUAAAAAAUAAAUAUUAAAAAUUUCAAAAUAAAAAGGGUUAUUUUGGUCAUUUUUUUAGAGCUAUUUUGUGACAAAAACUUAAAAAUAACUAUCCGAGAGAAUUGCCCAAACUUAUACUAUAUACAUUAUAUUUUAAAAUUUUAGGAACCAUAAAGCAAAGUUUCAUUUGACUAUGCUCAGAAUAAGCUUAUGUAUACAAUGAAUAAGCUUAUGUAUACAAUGAUAUUGUGUUACUCAACUAGAUCAAAAUACAGCAAAUCAGAUCAUAGAGCGGAGGAAAGCCAUAUAAUCAAAAUACAUUUACUCGAGAAUAUGACACUAUAUUUUUUCACUUUGUAAGUAUCAUCUUUGAAACCAUUGGGGGCGAAGAAUGAGAAAUUGCAGACGGUUGAACAUUGGCAUAUGACCCUAAUUAACAUCCAUAAUCCCAUUGUGAUUUCACAAGAAAAAUAACUAAUAUCUUCUCCUAAUCAACAUCUUGCUCUUCUUGAUUUUAUGAGAUUGUGUUUCCUGACUCUCAUAUGACCUGAGCAAAUAUAAAAAUUCAUUGUCAGAACCAGAACAUAUAAAGACUUGAUACAAAGUCUGAUUCAAAGCAAAAUUACAUGUAAACAGCAUGUCUAUAGAGAGCUUUUCAAUAGCAGGCAUCCAUAAAAUUUUGACCGGUGAUUGCAAUGGCUAACUCAGCUCUAAGAAAGUAGGCGAUCAAGCUCAUCAAACCCAUCAUCUUCAUCAUUUUCAACAUCUUUCAGAAGUUUCUGUGUCCUAUCAAGACCAUCAAGCUUGGGUUUUUCAUAAAAUGAAAGUUUUUGCAAAUCGCAUUCCUCUUUCAGUUUCUCCACUCUAUCUGACAUCAGCUCUUUCUCUUCAGCUAUGUGAUUUAUGUCCUCAGUAUCCACUACUUCUCCUGCACCUUAAAAUUACACCAAAAAAUAAGAGAUAUAAACAUAAGGAAUCAUGAUAUGGUAGUACCACACAUUUCACACAUGCUUCAAAUGAGGAGAUACCAUAAAGUUGCUCAUAAAACAGUUCAUAUGAAGUAACAAACUUUUCACUGCACGCCUCUUGGCCUCUGCAUAUUUCAUAGACAUUUUAUGUAGGGAACUCAGAUCAAUUUCAUUACCCUGAUAAGCACCAUAGCAACAAUAAUGGGUCAAUAUUCCUUGUCCUCUAUCCUAAGCAAAGAGAAAUAUAGCUAUGCACAGGAUUAGGUAUCUUGUACUCACCAUAUCAAAAUGAAUAAAUUGCUCAAUCUCCGUUUCAGACGUUAACCUGUUCAAGUCAAAAUGAGAAUAAAUGUUACUAACAACAAGGUCAUGCCAAACUCCGAUUUAUUAAGGGACAAAGUGACAUACUUUCUAUAGGCACACCGCACAAGUGAAUUUUAAGGUUUCCACUUUCCAGUGUGGAGUUGAAGCAGUUUUACAAGUUCCAAUGGAACUCUUAUGUAAUAAAUGCGAAACAGUGACAUUUACCACGAGGAAUGCGACAGCCUUGACUCUUACGUUUUCGAGAACGCUCUGUUGACCUAGACUCUUAAAAUGUCACAACUCUUUGUUCAUACUUCUACAACAAAACUGGGAUUGCCAGGCUUAUUACAUGAAAAAUAUGGGAAUGAAAGUCUCAUAAAUAAUUGAUAGUAAAUGAUUGGAAUAUCGUGAGCAUGAUGGUGUGAUGAAUUGAUAUAUUUUAAGGAGUAAUAAACAAAGGUCGACUCUCCUGGCGUCUUGAUUCUCUGACUAUACAAAUUCAUAACAUCAUACUUUUAGUGAGAAUGUUACUGAUUGAUCUAUUUAUUAUUGUAACAUACGCAAACAUCAAAUAUUUUUCUCAUAUGCUAUUCAGUUUGGCAAAGACUGAAUUAGUUUACACAGCAAGGUUAAUGACGACCAACAAGGAAACCAAACAUCAAAUAGUAUAAGAUUGAAGCUGAGAAACUGUUGCAAAGAGGAUGAGAGAGCCACUAUAGCUGCAAUCAGGCGUGUGUGCAGGAAAAACUCUACUUAGCCUCCAAGUGAAAUCAUACAGAACUCGAGACAAAUCCUCAUAACAAGAAGUAAAAGAAAAAGAAAACCCACAAAGGGUAAAAUUUGAUGAGCGAUUAUAAACCUUUUAUCCAGCUUUAGACAAGGCAUAAGUGAGGCUAAGGUGGGUUUUAUUCUCCAGGCACCGAGACUCCUUGCUUCAGCCUCUCCCGCUUGAGCUUCUUUUUAGAAACUGGCUUCUUCUUCUUUGGAGGUAGGUUCUUCUGUGCAUGCACGUAG
rnacentral:lncRNA from 1 species